AGAGAGAGACAUGCGCGCAUAUCAAUAAGCGGAGGAAAAGGAAACUAACUAGGAUUCCCCUAGUAACGGCGAGUGAAGCGGGAAGAGCUCAAAUUUGAAAUCUUCAAGGGUUCUACCUUUACGAAUUGUAGUUUAAAGAAGUGUUUUCUGUUGAGGUUUUGGUAAAAGUUCUUUGGAAUAGGACAUCAUAGAGGGUGAGAAUCCCGUAUUUGACCAUUACUUUCCAACUUUGUGAUACACUUUCAAAGAGUCGGAUUGUUUGGGAAUGCAGUCCAAAAUGGGUGGUAAAUUUCAUCUAAAGCUAAAUAUUGGCGAGAGACCGAUAGCGAACAAGUACCGUGAGGGAAAGAUGAAAAGAACUUUGAAAAGAGAGUUAAACAGUACGUGAAAUUGUCAAAAGGGAAGCGUUUGACACCAGUGUUGUUUUUCUGAAAAUCAAUUAAAAAACUGUUUAUGCUAAGUUGUUUAGACUUUAUCAGCUAUCUGUUUAGUUUUGAGCUUUUCUUUAAUGCACUUUUCAGUUAACAAGUCAACAUCAAUUUCUUUUGCUGUAAAAAAGCUUGAGGAAGGUGGCUUGAGAUUCGUCUUAAGUGUUUAUAGCCUCUUGCCUAUGCAGUCGGAGAGAUUGAGGUCUGCAGCGUAGAUCCUUCGGGGUUAGAUACAUUUGUGCUAAGUUAUAGCCUUUCAUAGACAACUUGUUGACUAUGAUCAGUCAUGUAGCUUACUCGCUUAUGCUAUUUUACCUACGCUUAGGAUGUUGAUGUGAUACUGCGAGCA
rnacentral:rRNA from 1 species